UAUUUUUCUAAUAUGCAAUGUUUUGCAUAGUACAAGUUUGAGAUGUGUGCUGCUACCGCUAGCUGUUCCUCAAACUACUUAAAAAGUGUGACACUGUGUGCACAGGCGUUCAAGUUUCAAUUGAUCCUCAAGCACAAAGGCUGAACACGCGCACCACCACGGGCUCCAGCGCGGUGUGAAGAGGGAAGAAGAAAAGACAGAAUUGGAAACAGCCGCACCAGGCUUCCAACCACCGUGUGUGUGUAUGUAAGUAUGUGAGAACACAUGUGUGAAUCCUCUUGUGGGAACUGCAAAAAGAAGAGAAUAAAGAGUGUGAAGCAGCUAGACUGCCGCAACCAAA